rnacentral:rRNA from 1 species
UACGUAGGCAGCGAGCGUUGUUCGGAGUUACUGGGCGUAAAGGGUGUGUAGGCGGUUGUUUAAGUUUGGUGUGAAAUCUCCCGGCUCAACUGGGAGGGUGCGCCGAAUACUGAAUGACUUGGAGUGCGGGAGAGGAGAGUGGAAUUCCUGGUGUAGCGGUGAAAUGCGUAGAUAUCAGGAGGAACACCGGUGGUGUAGACAGCUUACUGGACCACUUCUGACGCUGAGACACGAAAGCGUGGGUAGCAAACAGG